CCCGCUUUGCGGAGUGACGCAGGCCCUGGGCUACAGCAACCUUACCAGCCCCUCCAGCUUAGAGGUGGCAGUGGCUCUCUGCGGCUGCGAUUUCUUUCUCGGAGCGUCCUCCCCAUCCCGUUCGGCCUCUGCCUCCACCGUCGUCUCUGUAACCCGUUCCCUGUGGGAGAGUCUCUGUUGCGGUGUUCAGGGGUUUCGGUUUUCUGGCUGAACAGUGAUUAACGCGAGGGAAGGCGCUGACGGCAAGGUGGCAGGAAGAACAUUCCAACACAGACCACAACACCUAUGGACCUGGAAAACAUUGUGCUCAGUGAAAGAAGCCAGACACAGAAGGACAAUGUUGUAUGAGGUCUUAUUCUGUUGCCCAGGCUGGACUGCAGUGGUGCAAUCCUAGCUCACUGCAGCUUCGACCUCCCGUGCUCAAGUGAUUUUCCCACCUCAGCCUCCCGAGUAGCUGGGACUACAGGUGCGUGCCACCACGCCUGGCUGAUUUUUCUUGUAUUUUUUUGUAGAGAUGGGGGUAUCGCUAUGUUGCCCAGGCUGGUCUUGAACACUUGGGCUCAAGUAAUUCUCCCGCCUUGGCCUCCCAAAGUGCUGGGAUUACAGGUGUGAGCCACUGUGCCUAGUGUGAAUGCAUUUAAUGCCACUGAAUUGUACACUUAAUAAUGGUGAAAAAUAUAAAUAUUCUGUUAAAUAUUUUACCACAAUAAAAAAAUGUGUGACAGUUGUCAGAAUCAAAA
rnacentral:lncRNA from 1 species